rnacentral:rRNA from 1 species
UAGGGAAUCUUCGGCAAUGGACGAAAGUCUGACCGAGCAACGCCGCGUGAGUGAAGAAGGUUUUCGGAUCGUAAAACUCUGUUGUUAGAGAAGAACAAGGACGUUAGUAACUGAACGUCCCCUGACGGUAUCUAACCAGAAAGCCACGGCUAACUACGUGCCAGCAGCCGCGGUAAUACGUAGGUGGCAAGCGUUGUCCGGAUGUAUUGGGCGUAAAGCGAGCGCAGGCGGUUUCUUAAGUCUGAUGUGAAAGCCCCCGGCUCAACCGGGGAGGGUCAUUGGAAACUGGGAGACUUGAGUGCGGAAGAGGAGGGUGGAAUUCCAUGUGUAGCGGUGAAAUGCGUAGAUAUAUGGAGGAACACCAGUGGCGAAGGCGGCUCUCUGGUCUGUAACUGACGCUGAGGCUCGAAAGCGUGGGGAGCAAACAGG